rnacentral:piRNA from 1 species
UUGAUCAUAGCUUUACAAUAG